AAGUUGAUACCACUGCCUAUAAGCAGCUUGAAGUUUCAAUAUAGAUACUCCAUGAGUACUGGUUUUUGUUAAGCAUUAUCACUAAAUAAGACCCAGAUGAAACUCUGACCAUGCUGUAAAGUGAAAGCCAUAUUAAAUAA